CAAUAUUUGAACAAAUUAAAACGAGUUUUGCAUCUAGUAAACACCUACCAAUUUAUGUUAUGCUUUUAAUUUGAGAAAGAAAUAACAAAGCAGUGGCUUAAGUGAUGGCUGAACACCCCAGUUGGUGGGAAGGCUAGACCAGCCACAGUAGAAUGGCCAUUGCAGUUCUAUACUCUUUGUUUAACCACGUUCAAUCCAACUAGAAUCAAACAUCAAGCUCACAAGCUCCCUGGACGAUUCACAAUCAUCACAAUGGUUUUCAAAAUAUACUUUUGGAUGUUUUCUUGUCACUAUGAUACAUGAAAUUGUAUUCAGUAAGCAUUUCAAAGUUCUGUACAGGUGUGUUCUUCCCGAAAACCUCGCAAAAGUGAAACCCACAAGCCUGGCUGUCAAACAAAUUCAAAUUGAAGAUAUGCACAGCAUGACCCCAUUUAUAGUCGCAUGUUCCUUUUGUUCUGCAUAAUCAUUCCCCAUUGCUUCGCCCAAGUGGAGAUUGAUUUCAAAAAUUUCCAUCAAAACAUUAAUUCUCCUUUCAACCAUUUCUAAGCACUUCUUCCUCUGUUUGCAUAUAUCUUUGAGAAA